rnacentral:tRNA from 1 species
GGGGUUGUGGCUCAGCGGUAGAGCAUUCGCCUCACAUGUGUGAGACCCUGGAUUCGAUCCUCAGCACCA